rnacentral:rRNA from 1 species
GUGCCAGCAGCCGCGAUAAUACGUAGGGUGCGAGCGUUGUCCGGAAUUAUUGGGCGUAAAGAGCUCGUAGGCGGUCUGUCGCGUCUGCUGUGAAAACCCGAGGCUCAACCUCGGACCUGCAGUGGGUACGGGCAGACUAGAGUGCGGUAGGGGAGAAUGGAAUUCCUGGUGUAGCAGUGGAAUGCGCAGAUAUCAGGAGGAACACCGAUGGCGAAGGCAGUUCUCUGGGCCGUAACUGACGCUGAGGAGCGAAAGCGUGGGGAGCGAACAGGAUUAGAUACCCUUGUAGUCC